UUAGAGACUCCAGAAUUGGAUGAUCCAUCUUUUUUUUUUUUGAUCAAAAAGAUUGGAUGAUCCAUCAUGAGACAACACUGAAAUACUUUUGUUACAUAAAAUCUAUUUUCUCAAAUAUGGUUGGACGACGACAAAUUAUGGGAGCCACUCCUUUUUAUAUACUUCCUGGCAAUUGUGGGAGAACACUAGUACUACUUCUUUUGUAUAUGCGUUUUCUUUUGUGUGCUCUC